rfam:Capsella rubella cultivar Monte Gargano unplaced genomic scaffold scaffold_7, whole genome shotgun sequence.
UAUGAUAUGGUGAUGAUACAAGUGUAAUAUGUGGACUAGAGUUUCAGAUCUGGGAUUCUUCUCCCAGUAGUUGAAGAUUAACCCUUGGCUGUCUGAGUAUCAUC